rnacentral:rRNA from 1 species
UUGAUCCUGGCUCAGAAUCAACGCUGGCGGCGUGCCUAACACAUGCAAGUCGAACGCGAAAGGGGAGCAAUCCCUGAGUAGAGUGGCAAACGGGUGAGUUACACGUGGGUGACCUGCCUUCGAGUGGGGGAUAACGUUCCGAAAGGAACUCUAAUACCGCAUGACAUCCUGCUUUUGGAAAAGCGGAGAUCAAAGCUGGUGAUUCGCAAGAACCUGGCGCUUGAAGAGGGGCCCGCGCCUGAUUAGCUAUUUGGUGAGGUAACGGCUCACCAAGGCUACGAUCAGUAUCCGGCCUGAGAUGGCGGACGGACACACUGGGACUGAGACACGGCCCAGACUCCUACGGGAGUCAGCAGUGGGGAAUUGUUCGCAAUGGGCGCAAGCCUGACGACGCAACGCUGCGUGGAGGAUGAAGAUCUUCGGGUCGUAAACUCCUGUCGAGUGGGAAGUAUUGCUCCAGGGUGAACAUCUCUGGAGUUUGACGGUACCACUAAAGGAAUCCCCGGCUAACUCCGUGCCAGCAGCCGCGGUAAUAAGGU